UGAGUAACCUGCCCUUAACUCUGGGAUAAGCCUGGGAAACUGGGUCUAAUACCGGAUACGAACCACUCAAGCAUCUGAGAGGUUGGAAAGAUUUAUCGGUCAGGGAUGGACUCGCGGCCUAUCAGCUUGUUGGUGGGGUAACGGCCCACCAAGGCGACGACGGGUAGCCGGCCUGAGAGGGCGACCGGCCACACUGGGACUGAGACACGGCCCAGACUCCUACGGGAGGCAG
rnacentral:rRNA from 1 species